UACGAGUCGUAAACUGCUUUUAUACGGGAGAAACUGAUUACGUGUAAUCAGCUGACGGUACGUAAGAUAAGGAUCGGCUAACUCCGUGCCAGCAGCCGCGGUAAUACGGAGGAUCAAGCGUUAUCCGGGAUUUAUUAGGUUUAAAGGGUGCGUAGGCGGAAAUAUAAGUCAGUGGUGAAAUCCUACAGCUUAACUGUAGAACUGCCAUUGAUACUGUUUUUCUUGAGUAUAGUUGAGGUAGGCGGAAUGUGUAGUGUAGCGGUGAAAUGCAUAGAUAUUACACAGAACACCGAUUGCGAAGGCAGCUUACUAAACUAUUACUGACGCUGAGGCACGAAAGCGUGGGGAGCGAACAGGAUUAGAUACCCUGGUAGUCCACGCCGUAAACGAUGAACACUCGUUGUCUGCGAUACACUGUAGGCGACUGAGCGAAAGCAUUAAGUGUUCCACCUGGGGAGUACGUUCGCAAGAAUGAAACUCAAAGGAAUUGACGGGGGCCCGCACAAGCGGAGGAACAUGUGGUUUAAUUCGAUGAUACGCGAGGAACCUUACCCGGGUUUAAAUGCAGGACGAAAGACUGAGAAAUCGGUUCCCCUUCGGGCGGACUGCAAGGUGCUGCAUGGCUGUCGUCAGCUCGUGCCGUGAGGUGUCGGGUUAAGUCCCAUAACGAGCGCAACCCCUAUCGUUAGUUGCUAACAGGUUAAGCUGAGGACUCUAGCGAGACUGCCACCGUAAGGUGUGAGGAAGGUGGGGAUGACGUCAAGUCAGCACGGCCCUUAUAUCCGGGGCUACACACGUGUUACAAUGGUCGAUACAAAGGGCAGCUACACUGCGAAGUGAUGCAAAUCUCGAAAAUCGAUCUCAGUUCGGAUUGAAGUCUGCAACUCGACUUCAUGAAGUUGGAUUCGCUAGUAAUCGUGCAUCAGCAACGGCACGGUGAAUACGUUCCCGGGCCUUGUACACACCGCCCGUCAAGCCAUGGAAGCUGAGGGUACCUGAAGUCUGUAACCGUAAGGAGCG
rnacentral:rRNA from 1 species